rnacentral:RNase_P_RNA from 1 species
AAGAUGGAUUGGAUGAUCGCCGUCCCGCCUUUGGCGGGAGGGAGGAAAGUCCGGACACCGGUUCCGACUUGUCGGAACCAUGCGCAGUGGGUAACGCCCACCGGGUACGCCGCGAGGCGUGCCAAGGGAAAGUGCCACAGAGACUAUACUAGUCCCGACUUGUCGGGAUGAAACGUGAAAAGUAUGCCGAGGUAACGGAUUCGUUUUAUCAGCUGAUUAACGAAACUCGCGCGCCACGGCAUUUCCCCAUUGGCGACAAUGGAAGAUGGCAAACCCUGCGCGGUGCAAGGCCGUGUCCCGACUUGUCGGGAAGUGCCGCUCGAGCCGGCCGGUAACGGUCGGCCUAGAUAAAUGAUCGUCCACGACAGAAUCCGGCUUAUAGAUCCGUCUUGAUA